UAUUAACCACAAAGUUCAUUUAUAGAAUUUCAACAACAUGGCCAUUCCUGAGAACUCUAGGCUGUUUAUCUCCCUGCUCUCAGGGCUGACAAGGCCAUGCAGAAUUCCCAUGUGAAGACAGAACAUAACCUCCAGGUCCAAGUUCUGCAGGUGGAAAGGAAGGUGCACCAGGAGGCUUGUCUUGGAAGAGAUUCCAGACCCUGUCAAACUGACAGGAACCAUCACACUUCUCUCGAUUACAAUUAAUGGAUUCUGGAGUAUAGCUGGUUCAAAGAAGAACAGGAAGAGUCAUGGUUACAGAGCAUUGCUUCCAGAACCAAAGAAUUCAUCAUACAUGCUUGAAAAGAAAACAAGAGAGGGAGGCAAAAGCUGGAUGACACAGGCACCAAUAAUCAGAGAAGAUAAUGAAAGACAUCCAGGAAUCACUCAUAUUCUAAGGUCAUGGUCUUCAUGAAAGAUAUCCAAAACUUGAUCUUCACUGAAAAACAAGACUGAAGGCAAGCAGAAGGUUGUUUUGGCAAAGCAUACUGAACUGAUAAAGAACUAAUUAGUGUAUUUGAGUUCAGGCCUUGGGACAUUUUGUCCAAAUGCUUUCUUUUUAAUUCAUAAUUUAAAAUGUACCUCUCUCUUUUACUUUGAAACGCAUGCUUCCUUUGGAGUAAAUUCUGAUGGUAUAUAAAGGAGUGAGUUAUAUCUAAAUGAUUUAAAUGUGUUCACCAUGAAUUGCCAGUAACUGUUUUACUCUCCUGACAUUAUAAAAUCUGUCAAAUAUAAUUCAGGAAGAUGUCAAGCAUUAAACAGAGAUAUGACAGCUUUAACCUGGGUUGACUUCAAAAGUACCUUACUAUCCCUCCCUUGCUUGAGAGUUUUUGUAACAUAAAUCAAAGCACAGCACUUAUAAAAUACAUUUGUCUC
rnacentral:lncRNA from 1 species